GCCCUGGUGGUGUAAUGGUUAAGCACUCAGCUGCUAACUGAAAAGUUGGAGGUUCAAGCCUACCUAGUGCC
rnacentral:tRNA from 1 species